rnacentral:rRNA from 1 species
AAAAAAAAGGAUAAGAGUGAGAAAGAAACUCGUAAAAAAUCCGCAAUGAAAAGUGAAUUUUUCAUUAAAAAAGGAUCCCUCCCCUAAAAAAGGUGGGUGCACUUUUAUUAUUUAAGAAAGAAUUUAUUCCACAUUAAAAUCAAUUGAUUUUUAUUCAUUAGACCCGAAAGGCGGCGAACUUUGGUGGAUUGGAAUGAAGAAAAGGGAAACUUUUUUGGAGGUUCUAUAACGUUCUGACGCGCAAAUCGAUGUUCAAAAUUCACUAAAGCGGCGAAAGACUCAUCGAGCCGCCUGGUAGCUGGUUUCUUCUGAAAUUUCCCUUAGGAUAGCGGACAAUCGUUGUGAAUAGAUAACCGUGGUAAAGCAACAAUAGAUAGAAUGAGGGAAAUAAUUUUCCUUCACUAUCAUUUGAACUUAAAUAUGGUUGUGAAAUGGAAUUAUUUGAUUAAAUUCG